UUGCACCUGGUGGCGAGUGGCGAACGGGUGAGUAAUACAUCGGAACGUACCUUAUCGUGGGGGAUAACGCAGCGAAAGCUGUGCUAAUACCGCAUACGCCCUGAGGGGGAAAGCGGGGGAUCGAAAGACCUCGCGCGAUUAGAGCGGCCGAUGCCUGAUUAGCUUGUUGGUGGGGUAAAAGCCCACCAAGGCGACGAUCAGUAGCUGGUCUGAGAGGACGAUCAGCCACACUGGGACUGAGACACGGCCCAGACUCCUACGGGAGGCAGCAGUGGGGAAUUUUGGACAAUGGGGGAAACCCUGAUCCAGCAAUGCCGCGUGAGUGAAGAAGGCCUUCGGGUUGUAAAGCUCUUUUGUCAGGGAAGAAACACCGGCUCUAACACAGUCCGGGAAUGACGGUACCUGAAGAAUAAGCACCGGCUAACUACGUGCCAGCAGCCGCGGUAAUACGUAGGGUGCGAGCGUUAAUCGGAAUUACUGGGCGUAAAGCGUGCGCAGGCGGUUAUACAAGACAGGCGUGAAAUCCCCGGGCUUAACCUGGGAAUGGCGCCUGUGACUGUAUAGCUAGAGUGUGUCAGAAGGGGGUAGAAUUCCACGUGUAGCAGUGAAAUGCGUAGAUAUGUGGAGGAAUACCAAUGGCGAAGGCAGCCCCCUGGGAUAACACUGACGCUCACGCACGAAAGCGUGGGGAGCAAACAGG
rnacentral:rRNA from 1 species